rnacentral:tRNA from 1 species
GGCUCAAUAGUUUAGUUGGUAAAGCAUUGUCUAGCAUACAAGAGUCGUGGGUUCGAAUCCCACCUGAGCAU